rnacentral:rRNA from 1 species
GGGGAAUAUUGGGCAAUGGGGGAAACCCUGACCCAGCAACGCCGCGUGAAGGAAGAAGGUUUUCGGAUUGUAAACUUCUGUUCUUGGGGAAGAGAAGAAGACGGUACCCAAGGAGGAAGCCCCGGCUAACUACGUGCCAGCAGCCGCGGUAAUACGUAGGGGGCAAGCGUUGUCCGGAAUGAUUGGGCGUAAAGGGCGCGUAGGCGGCUGUUUAAGUCUGUAGUGGAAGUCCAGCUUUCAAGGUUGGAAGUGCUAUGGAAACUGAGCAGCUUGAGUGCAGGAGAGGUUAUCGGAAUUCCCGGUGUAGCGGUGAAAUGCGUAGAGAUCGGGAGGAACACCAGUGGCGAAGGCGGGUAACUGGACUGCAACUGACGCUGAGGCGCGAAGGUGUGGGGAGCAAAC